GUGGAUUUUACUACAUUAAUUUGACAACUGACUUGACAACUUCAAUGAUGGUCUAACGCCAGGAUUAUGUUAUUUACAAUUAGACUUUCAAAACAGUGUCUUGUGCCUGGUUUUACUGGAAAAUGAAUUUUAUUCGUUGCUACUUCUAUUUCCAUUGGAAACAAAGUGUACCUGAACAAAGUGUACAGAAACAUGCACGGAGGAAUUAGAAGUGAAAUAGAUCGUCAUGUAUUCCUAGUAAAACUAAAACUAUACACGUAAACGUGAGAGAAUAUAUAUAUAAACGAUACAGAAACCAAUGUUUUGCGAACCGUCUUCUAGUUAGGCUACUCUAGCAACUCUAGUAACUGCGCGAACUUCGAAACAUUCGGCCUCACAUGAUCAGGAAAGUAUGAAGAUGAGAAUUGGCGCGGAUAGUUUACGAUGCGAGUAACAGGAAACAAGUAUGCGUUAGUUAUGUUAAUAUAAGUUGAAUGUUCAUUAACCUCUGUUCGCGUGUUAAAUAGGCUAGGAACGAUGGAGAAAGGCUGUAGUCGAAGACAAAUUCCAGAAUUGAAUGUCGAGGACAGAGAACGAAUAAACAACCUUAUAGGGAUGUUAGAAGAUGGCAGAAGGUCGAACGCAUUUGCCUAGGCAUUUCACGCGGCGAGGAUAUUGAUUGUACGUGAUAUAUACACAGUAAGGUAAUAGAUAGCUAAGCUUUAACGUCACAAAAUUCAAUCUCCAAUUAGUCAAAAUUAUGUAUUAAGAGAUGCGUUAGUUUUUGACAUGAAGAAAACCAUGGUAGAGAAAAGAAAUACUACUAUAUACUACAAAUAAACGAGCAUAGUGAUAAAGUAGUAACAAGAAUGACUUCCCAUACUAUGGAUCAACUGAAUGAUUCAGAGGAUGAGGAGCCAUUAGUAGUUGCCCUCUUGAGUGGCAGUUUGCCGGGCCUCUUCGGCAUGUAGCCUCUUCUUUCUUCGAGCGCAAUGCCCGCUGAAACUUAAAUCUAGGCUCGAGUUUUUUUAAAUUGCAAAACAAAGAACAACUCGCAAGAGAGAGACUGUGCUAACCUGUCCGGUCCUACCUACUUAUAAUUAAAACAGACACACCAGAAAGUUUGCUACCUGCCUAUCCAGCCGCCCGCUAUAUUUAAAAAAAAUGACAAAAGACAGACACGCCAACACACUCGCUCCACGGUUCUCACACAUACACCCGGGCGCAACCUAAUCUAGAGAGAACGUCCCGGGACGUCUCCGACACCCGAGUUUGGCACGCAACAUUCACACUCUAAUUUACGUACCAUUUCCCUGAAAUCGACUGACGAAGGCUAAUGACCAUUGCGUAAAAUGUGACAGAAAUUUAAUUUUAAUUCAGUAUAUUUCAAUUUCAUUAAUUUGCUAUAUUUAAUAUCUUAUAUCAUACCGAUAGUGCUUGUGAGAUUUAUUAAUUAUUCAAAAUUGUGUUGCUACAUUUAAAUUACUUAUAUCAUACCGAUAGUGCUUGUGAGAUUUAUUAAUUAUUCAAAAUUGUGUUGCCCGGAAUAACGACGCAAUUCUACAGCCUAAUCACACACACACACAAUGUAGAAAAUACGUCGUGCACGAUACACCAACGCAUCGUCAGUCGCUGAGAAAUUAUUAAGUUUAUAAACUAUGGUCAUCAUGCCCAUUGCCUUUCUCCCACUCAAGUAGCACGUGGGCACGUGAGUGAGAUCCUGGUAAUGAACAUGGAAAGGAUUAAAUCUGAAAAUCCUGAGCUAAAAAACUGAUUAAUUAUGAUAUCUAACGGGCUAAUAUUCCUUUGUUCCAACUUUCAAUGACUGUACUUUAUAAUUUACUUUAAUAAUUCAAUACAUUACUAUGAAAUGUUACACUCGAAUGAAAAAGAAAUUGGCAAUAAAUAUUCAGUUCAAAUAAUAUAAUAUUCAACAAUCUGUGAGUUUGUGAUUCUAAGUAGUAAAAUAUUAAUAGAAAUAUUCUCAGGCGACUCCCUUAUCAAAGCAGAUCUUUGAAAAUGCAAAAGUAACAUUUAAAAUUCAUUCGUUGCUUUGACUCUGAAAUCUGCCUGUCGCGAAACGUUCUCUUGCACGUGAAAUUUAAUACAUCUUCAGAGAGAUGAAGUGAAUUUCAUGUUUCAAAUGAAAAUUGUAUUGAAUGUAAAAGGAAAAUAAUUAGAAUAUUACAAUAUUUACAAUAUUAAGAGAACGUGACGUGCAAGAGAACCCAUCCUGAGCUAAUAAAUAAAACACAGGAAGGAAAAUGUUACUACUCACGGGUAAAUACCCAUGAUCACUAUGCUCGUCAAAAGUUUCUACGUAAUACAACCAGUCAUCCGUGUCGAUUUGGACCUUUCAUCCUACGACAUGUUUGAAUGACCAGAGGAACAAAAAUACAUGCGACUCACGGUUAGAUGAACUCCAUAGAAGAAAUGAAGGUCAGGAAAAAUCUGCAACGAAGUAUAAAAUAUAAUUUGUUCUUAAAGACGGUGUUAAUUAUUUGGAAAGUUUGAAAUAACGAAAUAACUGCCUGCUAUUAAACAUAACGUUUUAACGAUAAUAUUCGAUUCAGGAGUAGAAAGUUUGAACUUUCAAUCACAUUCCAUUCUUAAUUAAUAACAAUUAAAGCAAAAUACAAGGAAUAAAGUUGAUUGGAAUACAAUAUGUAAGGAUUCUUACAUGCUUAACCUCGAAGCAUCGCACAGUCGUCUCCAGGAAACAGGAA